AGGGGUAGAAGAUUGAGCUGUGUUAAGAGAAACAGAGAAACCUUGCCACAUGUCAGCCUUGAUUUCAUUGGAGACAAUGUUGAUGUGAAUCCAGAAUGUCUCAGGUGAAAUUAACAAAGUUAUCCUGGUGUCACAAUGUGUGUGCUCAGCAGCUUUAGGAAAUUCAUCUUCAUUUGGAAAAGGAAUGUGUGGAUUAAGUCUGCAGAUAGCCUAGGAAAAAGAAGGAUGCUGUUUCAAAACAUGGUAUAACAGAGGGAAAGAUGUGCAUAGAAGAUCCCUUGAAUGGCCCUAACUUUUGAAUGUCUGUUUGUUUUUCUAUCACAUUAUAUUUAAAACUCAGAGGAAACAGAGCAGCAGUUCAACAUUUUCCUGCUGUUAUGCACCACUAGAGGCCAUCAUAUACCUCCUUAAAUAUUAGAUCUUUACUGUUAUGAAAAUAGGGAUUUUCUGCCCAUGCUUUGGAGUCCAGAUCGACAUGAUUGCUGAGAAGGCGAGUCUCUAAAAAAAGGUCUGCUUCUCUCCUUGGGGACAAGCAAUACCAUAAGGAACCAUAGGUGGCUUUUAAAGAAAUCUGCUUGAUUGUGCCUUGGAACAUUUAUAUUUCUGCAUUACCUGCUUUUCAUGACCACCUGCAUUCAGACCACCCAGUCCAGAUGGAAAAGAGUGUGGUGUGGACAACUUCCUUGGUCACAUUGUGAGUGUCCUGAUGCAAGGCCUGCUCUCAGGACUCGUUUGGGCCAAAAUGGUGCGGGUCCGAUCUGCAGGGCUUCUGCACACAAACUGGCACAUCAGUGUGUCUUUCUGCUGUGCCAAUUUAUCAGUUUAAUGUUUGCUAACUCCAAAAGGACUGAACCACAAUUCACUGUACAGUGCAGACAUGUGAUUUUGAGCGUGUUGCUUUCCAUCUUUGUGACUCAAUUUCCCACCUGGGAGAUGUUGAUAACAAUGCUAAUGUGUCUCAUUAUUGUCUUGCCUAUUUAAACUGUAAGCUCUCCAGGGCAAGGGCUGUCUCAUACCAUAUGUCUUCACAGAGACAGGCAGAAUGAGGCACUGAUUGCAUUUGGGGUCUCCUGGUGCCACAAUAAUUAAAAGAGAGACAAUAAUAUUAAAAAGCAAGAGAAGGGAGAGG